CAUAGGUUAAUGAGGCGAACCGGGGGAACUGAAACAUCUAAGUACCCCGAGGAAAAGAAAUCAACCGAGAUUCCCCCAGUAGCGGCGAGCGAACGGGGAGGAGCCCAGAGCCUGAAUCAGUGUGUGUGUUAGUGGAAGCGUCUGGAAAGGCGCGCGAUACAGGGUGACAGCCCCGUACACAAAAAUGCACAUACUGUGAGCUCGAUGAGUAGGGCGGGACACGUGGUAUCCUGUCUGAAUAUGGGGGGACCAUCCUCCAAGGCUAAAUACUCCUGACUGACCGAUAGUGAACCAGUACCGUGAGGGAAAGGCGAAAAGAACCCCGGCGAGGGGAGUGAAAAAGAACCUGAAACCGUGUACGUACAAGCAGUGGGAGCACGCUUCGGCGUGUGACUGCGUACCUUUUGUAUAAUGGGUCAGCGACUUAUAUUCUGUAGCAAGGUUAACCGAAUAGGGGAGCCGAAGGGAAACCGAGUCUUAACUGGGCGUUAAGUUGCAGGGUAUAGACCCGAAACCCGGUGAUCUAGCCAUGGGCAGGUUGAAGGUUGGGUAACACUAACUGGAGGACCGAACCGACUAAUGUUGAAAAAUUAGCGGAUGACUUGUGGCUGGGGGUGAAAGGCCAAUCAAACCGGGAGAUAGCUGGUUCUCCCCGAAAGCUAUUUAGGUAGCGCCUCGUGAAUUCAUCUCCGGGGGUAGAGCACUGUUUCGGCAAGGGGGUCAUCCCGACUUACCAACCCGAUGCAAACUGCGAAUACCGGAGAAUGUUAUCACGGGAGACACACGGCGGGUGCUAACGUCCGUCGUGAAGAGGGAAACAACCCAGACCGCCAGCUAAGGUCCCAAAGUCAUGGUUAAGUGGGAAACGAUGUGGGAAGGCCCAGACAGCCAGGAUGUUGGCUUAGAAGCAGCCAUCAUUUAAAGAAAGCGUAAUAGCUCACUGGUCGAGUCGGCCUGCGCGGAAGAUGUAACGGGGCUAAACCAUGCACCGAAGCUGCGGCAGCGACACUAUGUGUUGUUGGGUAGGGGAGCGU
rnacentral:rRNA from 1 species